GGAAGCGCCGUGAGUGGCAUCGGGGCAGCAGGUCCACGACGGAAAAAUUCGCUCCGACAUCACGCCCAUCCAUAAACAAACCCUUCUCUCUGAGCCGCCUGAGACCAGCAUGGAUUUUACACGGUCACGCAAUCAUCCGGUGGGAAGCCUGAAAUGCAGCCACUCUCAGGGACGAUAUUGCCUGCUGUCGUGCGACCGUGACCCAUGAUGCAGUGCAGAGGCCUUAAAGAAACCAGCCAUGCUUCGGAGUGUCAGAAAACGUUUAUAUACGAGGCAUUUGCUGGACAGCGUGUUUCUCCAUCUUGAGAAGGAUCAGUGGUUUAACCUGAUGUGAAAGGUCACGACCCGCGGCUACAAGUCCUCUUCUCCUCUAACUGAUCAUCA